CCAAAAGAGAAAGCCACACGAUUGUGGCUUUUAGUCAGGCAUUUAGUUAGGCAUUUAGUUUAUUUUAAUCUCCCAAUUUUGAUAUGUGCAUAACAUUUGGAGUCUGUUUCUCGUUAAAUCUCUGUACUUACAUGACUGUUUACUCCUGAGAAAAGUGGACAUAAACCACUACCAAAUAAAAAUCCUUUAUCUAUUUUUCACAGGUUAAAAUGACCAUGAAGGCCUACAACAACAGAUUCCUUAUUCUUCAGUACUUCUUGAGUGAAUGACAAGGCUCUUCUAAUACUGCUCUUACUCACAUAUGUAGGAAUACAGCCUUAGCUAGAAAUAGAAGGAACACAAUAUACAUAAAUAAGGUUUAAAACUGAAAUAUUAUUGGUAUCAGGUACUCAGCACUAAAGUUCUCUCUCUAUAUCAACACUGCCCAAAAGACCACUUUCAAUUAUUGAAAAAAAACUUUAAAAAAAUAGCAAAACUGAAGUAACUUCCCUCAUUGCACCUACAGUGAUAAUUUCUGCUCAUGGUUUUUCUGAAGUGUGAUCUGUCUCCACACACUCCUGUAUUCAAUUCCCUUUUUAUUCAGCCAAUUGCUUUUGUGUAGAGCACAUAAUAAAAUGUGAGCUUAUGAAACAACAGGAGUCCAUUCUGCUGCAGCUGUUCUUCAGGUUCCUACCUCCACCCAAAUCCACAACACAUAGUUUCUGCCUGGUUGUUAUGGAGCUCUAUUUCUCUGUCUUUUUACUUGGUAUCCUCUUGAAUUGAAGGUAAUAUUCUCUCUUAAGGAGGUGUAACAACAAUGAAAGCCAUGUCUGCAGAAAAGAGCAGCAUGUGAUUUUGUGUACCUUCAUCAUAACAAUGUCCAAGUGAAAGAAAGAUAUAAGUUCCAAUCCUCGUGCCUGUUUUAGGAUUUUUUUUACAAGAUAUUGGAAAAGACUUCUGUCUGUCCUUUACAAGGUCAAACAAAACUACCAAUUCACUUUAAGAAAAAAGAGUGAUUUGAAACACCUUUUCUCAACUGCAUGCAAACACACUUUUUUUCUGUAAAAAAUGUGAGGAAAUAAGGUUCAUAGAAUCACAAAGUCAUUUGAGUUGAAAGGGACCCUUAGAGGCCAUCUAGUCCAACUCCUGCAAUGAAUAGAAACACCUACAGCUAGAUCAGGUGCUCAGAGCCCCAUCCAGCCCGCCCUUCAAUGUCUCCGAGAAUGGGGCAUCCACCACAUCUCUGGGCAACCUGUUCCAGUGCCUUACCACCCUCACUGUAAAAAACUUCCUCCUUAUAUCCAGUCUUUUUCUUAUUUGCAGAUUUUGGAGCUGAAGCAUUUUAAAAUCACACCAGAUUUUUAAAAAAUCUCAACUUACCCUUAGCAAAACAUGCGCUUUGUUCAACAGAGGGCACAGUUUUACCACUGAUGUUUACUGUAACCAACUCAGAACUGAAUCCUGUUUCUGAAAUCUCACCUGAUCUCAGAAAUACUGUGUGACACCAAUCUCUUACUGCCCCCUUUGUUUUUGGCAGCCAAAGAGCUUUAAUGCUUAGCAUAAAACUCUUUGGAGUUUUAAUGCGUUGCAUCUGUGGAAGUGGGCAUCUCUUGUUAAUGGUAGAUUAGCCUUAGGAGUUAAUGUUAAGUAUUGCUGGGUACUUACUACAGGUCUACAAAACACCACUACACCUUAAUGUUCUGUACAGCCUCUUUGCAUGUAACUCAUGAUAAGGCUUCUGCAGGCUGCUACAGACAGGAGUAGCUGCCAGGUUCUGUGGUGUUUAUAUUUCCACCCAACUGUGCUGAGAGAUGCAGCAGCAUUUUGGAUAAACAAAGCCUUCAGGAACUCAGCAGAAACUAUCAACGGCCUUAUUAUAAUCUACACAGAUCUACUGCUCAGCUACAGGGUAAUCAAAGGGCAAGCAGUGCUAGUUUGUUCCAGACAGCAACAACUUAGCAGACAAAAGGAUACUGAUGAUUAGGAGAAAGCUUAAGUAUAUUACAUAAACAAUAGUUCAAGGAAUACGUUGCCUAAAUAACUUCCUGCAAUGUACUAACUUGUUCUUAGAUGGAAAAGUAGAUGAAAUACAGUAUAAUACGUCAGGAAGAGUUCUUCAGCCUAAUAAGUAAAAAAUGUACGGGUGAGGAAAUCCACACUCACUGGGAAACUGUAUGGCACCAGGCAGGCAGUGCUACGGUACGGAAACACCCGCAGUUGAAGCCCAGCCCACUAAGGGACAGGAACCCACGUGGCUUCCCUUUUCCUCUCCCUGCCCAUGGCUGUGGUAUCACAGUGCUUUUAUUUUGUUGAUAUUGAAGAACCACAGACGGGAGAAGUGGGAACCUUCCCUUUUGAGAAGGGAAUGUUUUUGAUGCUUCUUAAGAAGUGGGCUGAUGUACUUAGGUGGAACCAAUGAAGAAAAGCUCACCUGGCACAAUCCUGAAAACUCUUCUGUAGACGUUUAUUUUUGCCUUAGAAUAAUGCCAACCAGGGUAAGAGAUAUCCCAGUCUAAAUGUGGAUUGCACACACACUGUAUUUUCCUUGGAAAGCCAGCCAUAAUGUGUGAACAGAGACAGGAUCUGAAUCUUCAAAGUUGUCUGGGCAGUGGGAAUUGUACUGCUGUGUACACCUCUCUGUAUUUUGCCAAGAAACCUUAAUUCUGACAUUCAUCUCACACUGUAUGUACUGGUCAUCAAAUGCUAUCAGACAAGGCAAACAUCUACCUGUUCAGCAAAGAAUAACAUUAUUCGGAGAACAGCCAUGUUUGCAAAAUACUCCACUAUCAUCGAUGGACUCAGAGGAUCCUGACUCCUCCAAAACCAGCCCGCACUGUUUCCUAUGUCGGGAAGGCAUCCUGAAGAAAUACAAAGUAUUUAGCUUUCAAAUUAUGAAGCGACUUCUUCAUAAUCGCUUAUUCUCAAAUGUGUAACUAGUGAGGUGGAGACAAUCAUGUUGUACAGACCUGGACACAGUGAGCUUUGUUUUAAAAAAUAUUUCGCGUUCAGAAUAUAGAUACACGUAACUGCCCGUGGUGAAGAAGUCAAGAAACCAACCAGCUACGCUCCUUUAAAUAUUUCCUCAUCUUUCCAUUUCCAUGUGGUUUCGCCUGCCACUGUUGCAUAGACUCUGAAUCAGAACCUUGCUGCUCUUUAUUAGAUGCACUUAAAGCUCUGCAAGUCUGAAAGCAUGAGCAUCAUUGUGGGGUAAGCCACAACGAGUAAAGCAGAAGAGAAGGAAAAUGACAGGAGAAAAAAUAGAGUAAUGUAUCAGAAUCAAAGGAGACUUUCAAAAAACAGACAAACUAAAACGGAGGAAAAAAGGCGUCUUCAAUUGCAUUAUUUCAGUGUGCACUCAAUGCUGCUAUAAACUGGAGGUUUGGCUACUGUGCAGUAAACAUUUCCUCUCCAUUGGUAAUUUCCCCCUGCAAAAAAAUCCCCCAACUAAGCAGGCAAAUCUACCUGUGAUGAACUUGAAAAGAGAUUUGAAAAUUGAUUUUGCAGACCUUCAAGAGAGUAAAAGGGUCACAUAUCAUAUCGUGCAUGAUAUCGUGCAUAUCAAAAAGGUCAUAAAAUAUCACGCUCUCCGCUGUCUGCGAACGCGUGAACGAGUCUCCCACGUCUGGGAUGUGGACUGUGACACGGCGUUACAGAGUGAGACCAUCCUGCGCGGAAGACAGGAGGAGCUGCAGUGAGAAGAGCUCGUGGACGCGCGGGGUGUCCCUCCGGGAGGAGCGCCCAGCGCAGCGGGUGCCGGCGCUCAGCGCAGCCGCUCUCUCCCUUGGCACCGCUGUAGCCGAGAAGCUGGCCUGCAGUUCCGCGUCCUCCCAGGGGCCGAUGGCAGCUGUUCUGCACUCAGCGGUGUUCCCGCGUUAAGAGACGGCGGACGCCCUGGGGACAGUGCAGCUAAUUGCCGCUGCCGGGGCUCGGGGGGGCGGGGCGGUACCGCAAGUAAACUUCUGGAGGUAAGGACCUCCCGAGGCUGCGCUCCUUACAAAACACGGGCCGGCAGCUGUAAGCCAAACGCAAGAUUCGGCUGCGUACAGCCGGGAGCGAGGUGCAGCUGACCGCACAACAGCCCAAAACGAAAACGGCGGCAGUGCCCCCUCCAGCAGAGGAACAGUCAGUCCCUAGCCCUCCCGCGGGUCCCCAUCCCGCUCUGGAGGCAGAGGUACCGCGAGCAGCGGGACGCACACCGCUCCCUCCGGCGCCUCCGCCGGCCCCGUCCCGCCCUCCCCCCGCGGCACUGAGCGGGAGGAGGCACCUGCCGCCGGCAGGCCAUGGCCGGCUGCUGCCUGUCGGCCGACGAGAAGGAAUCGCAGCGCAUCAGCGCGGAGAUCGAGCGGCAGCUGCGCCGCGACAAGCGGGACGCGCGGCGGGAGCUGAAGCUGCUGCUGCUGGGCACAGGAGAAAGUGGAAAGAGUACUUUCAUUAAACAAAUGAGAAUUAUUCAUGGUUCAGGUUACACAGAAGAAGACAGGAAAGGCUUCACAAAACUGGUUUACCAAAAUAUAUUUACUGCCAUGCAAGCUAUGAUCAGAGCCAUGGACACUCUGAAAAUACAGUACACAUCUGAAGAAAAUGAGAGAAACUCUUGAGUGAUGAUUUGAAAAUAACCAUGCUUGAGUUACUGCCACUUGCAGGAGACAGCUGCAAAUGUGUCUUUCAUUUAGAUGGUGAAUGUGCUAAACAAGAUGCUAACUGAAACUAUUUGUGCUGCAUUUAGACAGGAAGAGGGGUUUGGUUUGUAUUGCUUUUUAAGUAGCUUGAAACUUUAAUUUUAAUUAAGCAAACAGUUUUUAUCCUAAUUUCAGCAGUUAUGUUCUUUGAGAUAUUUUGACUCAUCUUUGGUUUUCACAUUUUGUCUAUAAAGGAUUAAUCUUGCAAAUGCUUAGGAACCUAAUAUUUUAAGGCAUAAUUAUAGUACUAACUGAACCCUACAGAACAUACUUGAUACUAUUUUAGUGGAAGUAUUCAGGAUUUGAAAGGUUUUCAGGGAUUGAUUAACAUUUUUUUUAAUUUAUUUGAAUUAUUGACUAACUUUUUGGUCCUGAUGAUUUUCCUGGGUCUUCUAUCUAUUACCAGUAAUUAAUUUUAUUUGACAUUUACUUUCACCUACAUUGCAGAGUAGAAUGCAACUUCUGUGAAGUCAUGAAAACUGAAGUUGGUAGAUUCCUCACAUCUGUUGAUAAAUUAAAUAUAUUAAAUUACCCUUCUAAGAAAUUAUUUUGCAACAGAUAGAAGUCAAAAAGGAAUUUUAUUGAGUUUGCACUUAGGUUCUCUCAUGUUACUUUGCCAGGUAAAAAAACUAAUUAAAAAAAAAAAGAAAAGCUGGAAUAUUGUUUAUGUAACAUUAAUGCUGCUAGGAUUUAAGGUUAUUCAAGUAUCUCUUUUUGUCAUCCUUCUCUUUAAGAAAUGUUUAGUUUGCUGUUUGCUAUACAACACUGAAAACGUUGUAGUUACUCCUUCAAACCACACCCAGCCACGCUGCCAGUCUAAUGUCUGAUUGUUUGUCUGUGUUUUUGGAAUAUAUUAUUUUUAUUUUUAAUUGUUCCUGUUUUAACUGCUCUAUAAAACUUCCUACUAGAGUUGAUCUAGCUUGGUGUAGGGGAGUGAGACUUAUUAUUUAUGUUUCAGUUUUCAAUGUCAUACUGUGGAAAUUGAUAAAUUGAGUGCUGAUUAGUUACAGUAUAAAAUGAUUUACAGUCUCUGAGGGUAAACUUUUUGUGUGAAGGCUUAACUAAUUUACAAACAUUUCUUCUCUCCAUAGAGACUGUCAAAAAGCAAGACUAAAGUCAUUGGAAAUGCUAUUAGUUGCCUUAUUUGAGAAGUAUACAUGAUAGUUAAGUUUAAGUAAAUGAAAGAAGGAAUGCACAUGUGAGUGAGAGGGAAAAAAAAAAUCAGAAGUAGCAAAUAUUCCUUUUUGUCAUGCGAUGUUUUUAAAAUAAACAUAAGGUGAAAGAAUAGGGAAAAAAAAAAACCCUUCAAACAAAAAGAGGAAGAAAUCAGGUGGUGCUGGAAGAAGAGAAGACACAGGAUUUCAUUUGUGAGUAUACAUCAAUCUUAAGAUUGAUAGUGGGAUAGUUGUAGGAUAGUUAUGUAAUUCCUUCUUUAGAAGGAGUGUACUUUCUGUUAAAAUACUAAAAGUACACAUGUGCUUUGUAUUCCACUGGUAAAGCUGGUGUAUAUUGGCCUCACAAUGAAUUUAGAAUUUAGAUUAGUCCAGUUGGAAGCGUCCUACAAAGAUUGUCUAGUCCAGCUGCCUGAUCUGUUCAGGGUAAACCAAAAGUUAAAGCAUAUUAUUGAGGAUAUUGUCCAAAAGCCACUUGAAUACUGAGAGGCUGGGACAUCAACCACCUCAUUAGUGUUUUCCAGUGUUUGACUGCCUGCACAUUUAAGAAAUUUUUCCUAAUGUCCAAUAUGAACCUUCCUUGGUGCAGUGAGAAAUACAUCGUGAGAAAUUUAGGAAGUUUUCUGAACCAUGACUGGGCUUAGGUUUUCAUAAAUAGGAAAGUUUGUUCAGAAAUGUAACAGUAGUAGAGCUGAUGAACAUUGCAAAAGGUCCAUGAAUUCUUAGAAAAUAUUGCUCCACCAUAUAAAGCUUAGCUGAGUCUGAAUGGUGGGCCUUUUACCAAAAUUUGAUACUUCUCAUUGUUGAUAAUUUGUUACACUUUCAACAAAAAUUACUGUAUCUAUACCUCUUGAAAUUUGUUGAGACUUCUCUUGAUAUCGCCUUUCACCUUAAAUACCAUGAUUUAAAAGGUAUUAUUUCUCUGCAGCAUUUAACAUAACAUACAGAAGUAAACAAGAACAUAACAGAUAAAUGAUCAGGCAGAAUUUUACUGCAUUUACAGACAGUGUUAAUUCAUUGCAUCAAGUUCUCCUCUCAUUUUUAAAUGCUACAAACUUUACUAGCGAAACAAUGCAUAUAAAUAAAAGGUAAUCUGAUAAUGAAAAGGGAAGACAGUUGUGAUGGAAAAAAUAAUUAGUGAUGUGUAGUUAAUAAGUAGUGACACUGGACUUCUGUUUAGUUUUGUACUCUGAAGUGAAGAUUUCUGCACUAGAAGAAUAUAUAUAAGAGAUUAACAUCUUUUUGGCUGUUUAGAGCAGACUUUAAUGUUCUGCAGGCCUAACAUCUUUCCUGCUCCUUCCUUCUUUUGCAAUAACUGAAUAAUUCCAUUGCUUUCUCUGUGGCUGUGAAGGUGUUAUUUUUUGGCAACUGAAACAAAGAGAAUCUUGGUAAAUGAUUCUCCUAAUAGUACAGAAGCUUGAACAAGCCCAGUUUACUUAUUCUGUGGGCUGUGGCGUAGAGAGUUAAAAAGCAAUACAACUUUGUCAUAAAGGCUGACACAAGGUCACUGAACAAAGGCUGCUGUGGCUCAAUGUGUUAUCUCACCCAGCUCCUUUGCCACAAGUUGCUGCUUCGGUGUCAGUCAGCAUGGGAAACUUGUGUCUGGCUUUGUUGCCUGAGUUCAAUCUGGCAAAUUCACAUCUGUAAUUGUCUCAAUUAAAUUAGCCAGAGUUCAUCUCUGACAGCCUUUGGUCAGAAGAGUGAGGAAAAAAUGUCUCUGGGUCAGAAAGGAACUACAAAUUACCAUUCUUAGAACUAAUUUGUCAAAGGUUCUGAGAAAUUAUUGCUUAAAAUAACAUACAAUUUUGCUUUUUCUGAUUUGGAACUAGGACCCAGAAGUUGAAUCAGUUCUAAAAAAACAGUGCUUUUAUAUAUGUAUCACAGCUGGAGGCCUUUGAUAUCUGCACACAACUGGCUGUAGAACAGACAGUUUCUCUGUGUACAAGUCUGUUUUUGCUGACAACUUUUUCCGGUUUAUGACAUUUUCUGGUGUGGCCUUUUUUGCCUAUUAUUAAGAAAGAAAUGAGUGUGCUUGUGCAGCUGAGAAAUUCUAAUUCCUAGAAUAAAGACAGAAAUAUUUACUGCAAUAUGGAACUAACUCCUUGCAGUGGAAAAUUUAAAGAUUUUUUUUAAUGGAAAGUUUAAAGGGUAUUAUUCUAAAGGAAAACUGGCAAUCUCCUGUGCUGCUGCAGUUAAAUUUUUUAGUGAAUGAGAAAACAAAUAAAUUAAUGACAGAUGAAAAGACCAAUUAGCAGCAGCUCAGCCAAAAUCACUUAAGUCAGCAUCUGCUGUCAUGUUAGAAAUGUAAAAGCCACUUCAGAAAGAGAAGCAGCUAGAAAAUGCCUCUAGGCUUGCUCUUUUCUUAGUGCUAAAGCCUGUGACACAUUUUGUGAAUUUAUUAUCUGCCAACAAAAUUACUCUUUGGGAUAAAUUUGCCACAAUGAAGAAGUGCUUUUAGUGUUAACUUACUUCUUAGCAAACACCACAGUGCCAUUUUUUACUCUCUUUUAUUUUUGUUUAUGUGCACUGAAAUACAAUACAGAGUGUUCUCACAAAUUACAGUUAUAUAUUCUUACUUGGUAUAAAGUGUUUCUAAAGACAAUUAUUUUGAUGCUGAUCAGCCAGCCCAAUUAUCUCACUUUCCUUCUUGUAGGAGUAGAGAGUAUUUCUUUGAACAGAAUAUACUACUCUUCAACCAAAUGCCUCCUUGUGUGCAAUCAGUUGUUUUUUCUUGUAUGCCUCUUACACAAUAUCUGUGUUUGUCUGGGGCGUGAAUUUAGAGCCAUGAAGAAGAGCUUGCUGCAGGAGGAGGCCACACUGCUGAUGUACAGCAUGAAGGUUUUCCCUACUCUAAUGGGGCUGAGACCACUUGGUGCUUUUUCUGGAUGAGUGGACACUGAGAGUCUUAACUAUUUGUGAGAUCUGGAUGACUCUGAAAAGAGGAGAUGUACGCUUUGAACCUGGAGUACUGCGUCCAGUUUUAAGUUCCCCAGCACAAGCUAGAGAUUGAGAAACUGCAACACAUUCAAUGAAUCGUAGAGUCAUCUGAGUUGAAAAGGACCUUCAAGAUUAUCAAGUGUAACUGUCAACCUGACCUACCAAAUCCCUUCACUAAACCAGGUCUCUUAGUGCUGCUUCCACACAUCACUUGAAUACCUCCAGGGAUGAGGACUCCUUCACUUCCCUGGGCAGCCUGUUCCAAUUCUUUACCAUCCUUUCCAUAAAGAGAGAAAACCUGAGGACAUUCCUGGUAAGACACCAAGAAACUUCCUCUAAACUUAGUCCUGUUUUGAGCACGGAUCAGAGCUGAUGAUCCCCAGCGAUCCCUUCCAUACUGGCUUACUCGAUAAGGCCGCAGUGUUCUUGGAAAAGAAGAUGGCAUGAAAGGAGGAGUGGCCAGCAGGGCAAUGGAGGUGAUUGUCCCCCACUUCUCUGCCCUCGUGAGUCCUUAUCUGGAGUACUCCAACCAGGUUUGGGGCCCACAGCACAAUACAGAUGGGGAGCCAUUGGGGCAGGUCCAGAGGAGGACCACAAAGAUGAUCAGCGGGCUAGUGCUCCUCUCAUGAAGAAAGAUUGAGGGAGUUGGGGUUGUUUAGUUUGGAGAAGAGAAGGCUCUGGGGAGACUCAUUGCGACCCUAUAAGAGGACUUAUAAGCAGGAGGGGGACCAACUUUUUACAUGGACAGACAGUGACAGGAAAAAAGGGAGUAGCUUUAAACUAGAAGAGUGGAAAUUUACUUUAGAUGUAAGGAAGAAAUUUUUACUCAUAUGGUUGUGAGGCACUUGCACAGGCUGUCCAGAGAAGCUGUGGAUCCCCCAUCCCUGGAGGUGUUCAAGGUCAGGUUGGAUGGGGCCCUGGACAGCCUGAGCUGGUGAGUGGCAACCCUGCCUGCAGUAGAGGGUUGGAACAGGAUGAUCUUUACGGUCUCUUCAAACUAAGCCAUUCUAUGACUCUGUGAUUAUCAAUUAAGUUAAUUUUGUCUAUUGACAAUUUAUCUUACUGAUAACCUGGUAACUUCUCUACUUGUAAUCAUUUUUUCCAGCCAGGGAAUACCUAUAUGAAAAAUGAAAUAAUUUCAAAAGUUGUUAGCAUUCCUCUCAAUUCCGACUUACUUAAGUGGUGAGUAGUCAGACUUCUAAUUGAAUUUCCACAUUUCCGCUGUUGUAACAACACAUUACCAGAAGGGUAAAACUAGCAUCUCAAAGAGAAUCUCUUGUGAGAAUGACAGUAUUUGCCAUUUGCAGAUGAAAGGAAGCAACUUUUCUAUACAGUUUCAAUCCUAUUGCUUGUAGGACCAACUAGACGAGAAAGUGAUGAAAAACGUACAGAACUGAAUUUCAUUGAGGUAAGCUCAGGAAUUGCAAAACCAACUGUUAUUUCAGAAUCCUUGUAUAAAAGACAAUAAUUCACCAUAAAGGAGUAUGAUAUGGAACUCCUUAGGGUCAAUUUAAUAGAUUAGAAGGACUAAUUGAUGAAAGGGAAGGAGAAAUGGGGUGACUGCAAAUGUAGUGCCUCAAACUGAGUGACUUGUUGGAAGCUCCAGAAAUCUGUUUCUUAUCUGAAUGCUCUGGAUUCUGAAGUUAUAGAUAAUGAGGUAGUACUGAAUAACAUGAAAUUAUUUAUAAAUGAAAUAAAUAAAAAUUAAUAAUAAAAAAAAUUUGAUUUUACUUGGACAAAAAUUGUAGGCUGUAUUUAGGAACAAAGGAUGUUGAUUUGACUUAUUUCAAAAAAGAAUUGGGAAUGAGACAACUGGUUGAACACGAUUUUCUUAUAUAUUGCUAUAACAGAGAGAGAGAGAGAGAGACUCCUCAUCUCUCAUAUAAUUUGAGAAAGCCGGAAGAGCAGAGAGAUGGACCAGUCAUCUGAAAGGUCAGAGUGCUACUGAAAACUUGCUUUUAGUUCUGCUAUUCACACAGAUGUUCAAAAAAGAUCUGAAUGAUUUAUCUGAUUAUAUAAAACAUACCUUAUUAGUGUUCUCUUGUCUCGAUCCAAUUAUUGGAGGAGAUGGUUCCCAUAUAUAUACCCAGAGGAAGAUUAAGGCAGCAAGCAAGCCCAGAUGUUGUCCAGUGAUUUAUUACAAAUUCUAAGCUACUAAGGAAUGCAGGGAAGAUAGAGAAGUUAGCAAUAGUAAAGAGAGAAAUCCAAGCAAAUGGUUUACAAAGCAGGGAUAGUCACCACCAGAGAUCCAGCAACAUCUCAUUGGUCCAUAGGGAGGCAGCAAGUCAGUCAGCAACAUCUCGUUGACCUGCACAGCGGCAGUUCAGUGGAGGAGGUACCCAUUCUUCCUUGAAAUUCUUAGGGUUUUCAUCCACUCCAUAGUGUUCUUCUGGUUGCCAGGGGCACUUCUGCUUUGUUUGUCAGGGGCAAUGGCCAUGAUAAUUGCAACAGCAUGUCCAUGGUACAUGCCUUUCUCACUGAGUAACCGGCAGCUGAUCGCAUGAUUGUUGCAUGGUGGGCUGCUGUGUAUGCGUGUUGACUGCAUGGUGGUCCUCUCCUCCAAGACAAUCCCCUUAAGUCAACUUGAAUGCCCCAAAGAAGCAACAGCCAAAAAUGUUCUGCCCGGUUGCCCAGCCACAUGUCUUUCUCUUACUGCUGUGCUCAUGGUAACCAUUAACCUCAAAAGCUUGUCGAGCAGAUUAUGUCUCGGAUGGGUGCCCCUGAACAAGCUUUGAGACAAAAAUUGUUCCAGCUUCUUACAACUCUGUAUUGGUACCAUGACUGAGGAAAUGCAAUCUGUUUAUCCUCCUAGCAUACAGGGGAGAAAUUUAACUGCUUUGACCUCACUGAUGAUCUCUGUGUCACCUUAAUUCAGCAUUCCCCUAAAGACAGAAUUACUUUCACAAUGGAGCUACCUAUCUAGCUGAACUUACAAGCAUGAGCAGUAAAACGAUUAAUGUUCUUAUCUGUGAUAUGAGGUCAGGCGUAAGUAAAUAAGCAUGCUUUCAGAGGAAGAAGGCUGAAAUAUGAGCAAAAUGUGCUUUCAAGAAAAAAGCUAACCAGAACAACCUCCAUCUCUAUUUUAAAUUUUUGUUAUUUUUUGGUGAGUUGCUGAUUUGUAGAUUUGUUACCAUAUGCUGACCUGUUAGUAGUGCAAACAUAGCCUUUGAGUAUUAUUUAGUAUUUCUGAGAAAUUCUCCCCCUCCAUAGCCACAUCCCUGAAGAAAUCAGGGAUGGUUAUUGACAAAUGCAUUUCUCACCCGAUACUGUGUCACCCAAACACUGUGUAGGAGUCUCCUAGCAGUGUGCUUCCAAUGAUAUGUUUCAGUACCAUGUGGUCUAAUCAGUUACUUGGAGUUAUUUUGAUACACACAGCUUAAUAUUACUAAGAUUUCUUUUUAUAGGAGAUAGUUCGGGGAUGUCGCAGCUGAGAACUGAUCCCAGUUUUUUUGGAAAAUGUUUCUUCCAAGUGGUGGUGCUUGUUAGUACAAAGACCAAUUCUAAGAAAAGCUUCUUUCAUACCAACUUUGCACUUGUCCCAGUGUGUAAGCAGGGUAUCAUCCCAACGAAAAAUUACACGUAUGUUUAGCUUUGAACUUGAUAGCAUUACUUUCAUGUUGAAAGUGAAGGUUUUGCUUACUUUUACAAACAAGAUUUCAAUGAUUGCUUACAUUAGCAGGAAGCAAUGUUUCAAGUCUGCAAUCUUGUUCUGUCUCUAGCAAGACCAAAAGUUUUAAUGCUGUAUAUAUUUUCUAUGAGGAUGAAAUAAAAAAGUGAACACAUGUAAACCUCUACUUACAUGCUAGAAAAAUGAUGUUUUAUGAGAGAUAUUUUAGUUCUUCAAUAGAGGGGAUCUCUGUCUCUCUAGUUUUUUCUAUUUUUGUUCUAUUUACAUAUGGCUAGCUACCAGAUGCUUUGAUAAAAAUGUGAACAUGCACACCCACACUGAUCCACCUCUUUAUUUUCUAAACAUACUGUAGGUUAGUAAGUGUGGGAAAGAAUACAAAUUUACCUCACUCUUGCACACAUUUUCCCAUUUUCCUAAAACUAUUAUUGAUGGCAAUGGGGAGUCAGGAAAAAAAAGAGAACAAAGCAAGAAACCAUAAAAGAUUAAAACCACCAUUUCAAAUGGAGGUCAUUAACUCGAGCUGUAACCCAAAUAUUUUUGCAGUGUGCUGAAUAAUAGUCUCUGUCCAGAGAAGAAAAAUGAACCAACUUAAAAACUUGAUUGUAUUUGGGAUGGUAUAGUAAUAGAUUUUGCUUUGUCCUUUGCCCCAAAUAUUAAAAGUGUUGGAAAUCUGAGGUUGGGAAGCUGCAAAUUACAUAUGUAUACUUGUAUAUUUGUAGAUGUACAUGCUGACUUUUAGUCCACAUAUAUGUACUUCUGCAGAAACCAACCCUUUUGUGCUUGCAGAAGUUGUCUAAUAUUUACAUAUAUAUGGAUGCACUCUCAACUAUAAUUUAUUUAACAAAAGGCUAAUAUAUAAAGAUUAACUGCAAACUAUUUCAUUUUGUGAAGAGCAAAACAAAGAUCUUAUGAUCCUCAUUUUUAUUUUUAUUUUUACGGGUACUCCAUGAAGUUUUAAGAAGGGCCUGACUAUGUGGUCUUGUUUUUGAAUCAGGUCUUUGCCAAGAAACUGUGUUGCCAACUACAACCUGGGUGGUGGUUUGUCCCGGUAUUUUUGCAGUUAUGUUAUUUAGCCUUUCUUUGCUUCCUGCUUGCCAGCGUACUGUUUAUCAUCUCCAUGAUUAUUGCAGAUGGGGCAUGGACUAAUAAUGAUGAAACACUGAGAGAAAAAGAAUUGCUGCAGGCUGUGGGUGCAGAUGGAAUAGGCUCAGGAAGAACACAAUUAAAGCUUAUAGGAGGAAUAACCGCAUGCAUCGUUACAGUUAAGGGAUGACCUGCUGGAGAUGAGCUCUGCG